UCGGGAAUUUUGGGCAAUGGGCGAAAGCCUGACCCAGCAACGCCGCGUGAGGGAUGAAGUAUUUCGGUAUGUAAACCUCGAAAGAAUGGGAAGAAUAAAUGACGGUACCAUUUAUAAGCUCCGGCUAACUACGUGCCAGCAGCCGCGGUAAUACGUAGGGAGCAAGCGUUGUUCGGAUUUACUGGGCGUAAAGGGCGCGUAGGCGGCGCGGUAAGUCACUUGUGAAAUCUCUGAGCUUAACUCAGAACGGCCAAGUGAUACUGCUGUGCUAGAGUGCGGAAGAGGCAACCGGAAUUCUUGGUGUAGCGGUGAAAUGCGUAGAUAUCAAGAGGAACACCUGGGGCGAAGGCGGGUUGCUGGGCCGACACUGACGCUGAUGCGCGAAAGCCAGGGGAGCAAACG
rnacentral:rRNA from 1 species